AGGAGUCUGAGAAGGGCUGGUCAAGGAGGUAUGAAGAAAACCACUACAGAGUGGAGACCAGGGAGCAUGUUUCAAGAACAGAGAAAACAGACAACCACAUUAAAUGCUAUUGAGAACCCAAUUAAGAUGAAGUCAGAGAAGUGUUCAAAUAAUUAACAAGUCCAGGGCCCAGCAGACUGAAACAAAAGGUGUGAAGUUCUUCUCAUCCAUCUUAAUGGGGUGUUAAUGACUGUAGAGGAUGACUGUGACCAUUUAAAUUUCUGUGGAAAUGCAGCUGCCAUUUAACCAGUGCCUGUUACUUCAUGCUCUGCAUAUGUGCUUUCGGAUAUUAUCUCCAAUCCUUCCAAAAAUCUCCAAAGGAAUGUUGCGACUCUCCUUUUACAGCAGGAAAACUAGGAAAAUGAGCCUCAGAGAGGUUGAACAACUUCCUCACAGUUACCCAGCCAGGAUUCAAAACUAUGUAAGCCCAAGUCUGUACUCUCUUUGCCACUCUGAUUAUUCACUGUGUAAAAAUUAAUUUUAAAAUGUAUUCUUACUCCUCUAAAAUCUGAAAAUAACAUUAUCUAGAGUACCACAGGACUAUUAUUAUUUUUUUAAUUCC